rnacentral:rRNA from 1 species
UACGGAAGGCAGCAGGGGGAAUAUUGCACAAUGGGCGCAAGCCUGAUGCAGCCAUGCCGCGUGUAUGAAAAAGGCCUUCGGGUUGUAAAGUACUUUCAGUCGUGAGGAAGGUGUUAAGGUUAAUAACCUUAGCAAUUGACGUUAGCGACAGAAGAAGCACCGGCUAACUCCGUGCCAGCAGCCGCGGUAAUACGGAGGGUGCGAGCGUUAAUCGGAAUUACUGGGCGUAAAGGGCACGCAGGCGGUUAAUUAAGUUGGAUGUGAAAUCCCCGGGCUUAACCUGGGAAUGGCAUUCAAGCUGGUUAGCUAGAGUCUUGUAGAGGGGGUAGAAUUCCAUGUGUAGCGGUGAAAUGCGUAGAGAUGUGGAGGAAUACCGGUGGCGAAGGCGGCCCCUGGACAAAGACUGACGCUCAUGUGCGAAAGCGUGGGGAGCAAACGAGGG